UUCGCAAUGCCCGAAAGGGUGACGAAGCGACGCCGCGUGUGGGAAGAAGGCCUUCGGGUUGUAAACCACUGUUGGGAGUUAGGAAAUGUGGAGGUGUUAAUAGCGCUUUCACUUGACUAAAGCUCCAGAGGAAGCCACGGCUAACUCUGUGCCAGCAGCCGCGGUAAUACAGAGGCGGCAAGCGUUGUUCGGAAUUAUUGGGCGUAAAGAGCACGUAGGCGGCUCUGCAAGUCAGCUGUGAAAGCCUUCUGCUUAACGGAAGAACGGCAGUUGAAACUACAGGGCUUGAGUGCGGGAGGGGAGAGUGGAACUUCUGGUGGAGCGGUGAAAUGCGUAGAUAUCAGAAGGAACGCCGGCGGCGAAAGCGGCUCUCUGGUCCGUAACUGACGCUGAGUGUGCGAAAGCUAGGGGAGCAAACGGGAUUAGAUGCCCCGGUAGUCCUAGCCGUAAACGAUGGGCACUAAGUAGAGGGGUUUU
rnacentral:rRNA from 1 species